rnacentral:rRNA from 1 species
UACGGGGGGAGCAAGCGUUGUUCGGAUUUACUGGGCGUAAAGGGCGCGUAGGCGGUCAGCACAAGUCAGUUGUGAAAUCUCCGGGCUUAACUCGGAAAGGUCAACUGAUACUGUGCGACUAGAGUGCAGAAGGGGCAACUGGAAUUCUCGGUGUAGCGGUGAAAUGCGUAGAUAUCGAGAGGAACACCUGCGGCGAAGGCGGGUUGCUGGGCUGACACUGACGCUGAUGCGCGAAAGCCAGGGGGAGCGAACGGGGAU